rnacentral:misc_RNA from 1 species
UUGAAUAAACAUUUGAUAGGCUGUUGCUGGCCCUUCUAGGGUAGUGUGCACGCUUGUCAUUUAUUUGUUUAUUUUUCCACCUGUGCACCUUUCUGUAGACCCUUAGGAUUUUGGGACUGCUGUGCCUAUAAACUUAUA